rnacentral:rRNA from 1 species
UACAGAGGUCCCAAGCGUUGUUCGGAUUCACUGGGCGUAAAGGGUGCGUAGGUGGUUAGGUAAGUCUGAUGUGAAAUCUCUGGGCUCAACCCAGAAACUGCAUUGGAUACUAUCUAGCUUGAGGAGUGGAGGGGGGACUGGAAUACUUGGUGUAGUAGUGAAAUGCGUAGAUAUCAAGUGGAACACCAGUGGCGAAGGCGAGUCCCUGGACACUUCCUGACACUGAGGCACGAAAGCUAGGGGAGCAAACAGG